UGGUCACACAGGGUUUCAUUCCAUCUGGGAGUUGUAACUUAGCUCAGGAGUUUGUUUGAGUUUAAGAAGCUUAUUUCAGUCUGGGAAAUUAGGAAAUUUUAGAAAGGGUUGUAGUUAAAAUGUUUCCCCCCUUCAUUGGGUAGUUUAUAAAGAGGAUUUCUUAUGCAGCUGUUUCUGGAAUUUAAACUAUCUUAUUUCCUGUGGGAACUUCAAUUAAGAGUAAUAUAUUUUUACAUUUUAGUGGUUUCCUCACUUUUCUUCCUCCCCCCCCCACUCUUUAUUGUAUUAAUGGGUCUAUGACCCAUGGCUCUCACACAACUAUAGCAAGACACAUUCCUUUUUUAAAAAAGAAAAAAUUAAGGGAGAGGGGCUUAGAGGAUAAGAUAGGAAGUACAGUAAAGAUACCAGCACUGGAAGAAAAUGUGCAGCUUCCUGCAGCCACUGAGCCUCCCUCCCAUCUAUAUCCAAACUGGCAGAAACUCACUCUGAGGCACUGAGAGAAAGAGGAGAGCAUGCGCCAGAUCCUUCAGGGAGAGGGCACAUUCUUCAAUAAAAAGAAGAGCUAAGAGGAAGGUGAAAGGGGAGAAGGGGAGGAUGGAUGUUUUGGGAUAUGACAGGAGUGAAAGUGAUAUGAAGUUCUGUACUGGGAUGGCCCAUAUGAAGAUAGCACUUGGGUUUCACCCAAAAAAUGUUAUACCUUGUGAGUUCAACUGGAAAUUUAAACCAGAGUAAAGAAGUCAGACACCAAAUGUCCUGAAGUUCCUCUAGCACCAGUUAUAGAAAGAAGUGAUUGAUCACAACUGUUAGCUGCACCCCUGCCAACACUCAUUUCCUCCUUGGUCUUUAGGCUUCUUCCCUUGAUUGCGCAUCUGACCACAGUCCUUUGGCAACACAACAAUGGGAGAGAACACCUAUGGCUAUG